rnacentral:lncRNA from 1 species
UGCUUGUAACCAAUAUCAACCUCUUCUUCAUCUUUAUAUAUUCUUGCAUCAAUAGCAUGACUCAUUCCAGUUUCACCCAUUAAUUGCCUCUUUCGCUUAAUGCUGUCAAUGAUAACAUCAUGAAACUCCUUCUUUGUAAUUUCCAAGACUUCUUUCAAUGUGAAUUCCACCUUAGCGUUUAAUAUACGUUCUUCCAACACCCCUUUCAAAUUUGUUGCCGCUUCAAUGUCAGAAAGUAGCUUAUAAGCAAAUGAUUUGCUCUUCUCUUUUGUCUCCCUUAUUUUUUCUUCCAAUGAUACUCAGGUAUCCUUUAUAGGCAAUUCUUGUGAAGCUGCCUCCCGAGCCUUGUCUCUUCAAGUUAAUCUCUUAGAAGAAUUUCCUUCUCUCGUAUCAUCAAAAUUUCCUCGUCUCUUUUCUUCC